rnacentral:rRNA from 1 species
AUUGAACGCUGGCGGCAUGCCUUACACAUGCAAGUCGAACGGCAGCACGGGAGCAAUCCUGGUGGCGAGUGGCGAACGGGUGAGUAAUAUACCGGAACGUGCCCAGUUGUGGGGGAUAACGUAGCGAAAGCUACGCUAAUACCGCAUACGAUCUAUGGAUGAAAGCGGGGGAUCGCAAGACCUCGCGCGAUUGGAGCGGCCGAUAUCAGAUUAGGUAGUUGGUGAGGUAAAGGCUCACCAAGCCGACGAUCUGUAGCUGGUCUGAGAGGACGACCAGCCACACUGGGACUGAGACACGGCCCAGACUCCUACGGGAGGCAGCAGUGGGGAAUUUUGGACAAUGGGCGCAAGCCUGAUCCAGCAAUGCCGCGUGCAGGAUGAAGGCCUUCGGGUUGUAAACUGCUUUUGUACGGAGCGAAAAGGCUUCCACUAAUACUGGGGGCUCAUGACGGUACCGUAAGAAUAAGCACCGGCUAACUACGUGCCAGCCGCCGCGGUAAAAC